GACGAACGCUGGCGGCGUGCUUAACACAUGCAAGUCGAACGGAAAGGCCCCUUUGGGGGUACUCGAGUGGCGAACGGGUGAGUAACACGUGAGUAACCUGCCCUUGACUUCGGGAUAACUUCAGGAAACUGGGGCUAAUACCGGAUAGGAAUCCUUGCUGCAUGGUGGGGGUUGGAAAGCUUCGGCGGUUUUGGAUGGACUCGCGGCGUAUCAGCUUGUUGGUGGGGUAGUGGCUUACCAAGGCUUUGACGGGUAGCCGGCCUGAGAGGGCGAGCGGCCACAUUGGGACUGAGAUACGGCCCAGACGCCUACGGGAGGCAGCAGUGGGGAAUAUUGCACAAUGGGCGGAAGCCUGAUGCAGCAACGCCGCGUGCGGGAUGACGGACUUCGGGUUGUAAACCGCUUUCAGCAGGGGCGAAGCUUGUGGUGACGGUACCUGCAGAAGAAGCACCGGCUAACUACGUG
rnacentral:rRNA from 1 species